rnacentral:lncRNA from 1 species
AUUCGGGUUUGGAUAACUCAUUAAAAUUAUUUUAAAAUUUUUAAAAUUCAUUAUAUACUUUAAAUUUCUCAAAACCUAUAAACAAAAUAAUAUAUUACAUACAAAUUUGAAUAACAUAUGUCAAAAUACCUAAACUUAACAUAUAAUUUGAUUUGGUUCGAAUAUUUGGAUAGAUAAUCAAUAGAUAUUUCAAGUAUUUUUGGUGUUUUGAGUAUAUUCUAGCUAUUUUAGACAUUUACUUGUGACUAUUUAUAUAUAUUUUCAAGUAUUUUGGGCAAUUUAAAAAUAUUUUAUAUAUUUUGGAUGUUUUUAAUAUACAUUAAAUCUAAAAUAUAU